GGGUUGUGAGGUUAAGCGACUAAGCGUACACGGUGGAUGCCCUGGCAGUCAGAGGCGAUGAAGGACGUGCUAAUCUGCGAUAAGCGUCGGUAAGGUGAUAUGAACCGUUAUAACCGGCGAUUUCCGAAUGGGGAAACCCAGUGUGAUUCGUCACACUAUCAUUAACUGAAUCCAUAGGUUAAUGAGGCGAACCGGGGGAACUGAAACAUCUAAGUACCCCGAGGAAAAGAAAUCAACCGAGAUUCCCCCAGUAGCGGCGAGCGAACGGGGAGCAGCCCAGAGCCUGAAUCAGUGUGUGUGUUAGUGGAAGCGUCUGGAAAGGCGCGCGAUACAGGGUGACAGCCCCGUACACAAAAAUGCACAUGCUGUGAGCUCGAUGAGUAGGGCGGGACACGUGGUAUCCUGUCUGAAUAUGGGGGGACCAUCCUCCAAGGCUAAAUACUCCUGACUGACCGAUAGUGAACCAGUACCGUGAGGGAAAGGCGAAAAGAACCCCGGCGAGGGGAGUGAAAAAGAACCUGAAACCGUGUACGUACAAGCAGUGGGAGCACGCUUAGGCGUGUGACUGCGUACCUUUUGUAUAAUGGGUCAGCGACUUAUAUUCUGUAGCAAGGUUAACCGAAUAGGGGAGCCGAAGGGAAACCGAGUCUUAACUGGGCGUUAAGUUGCAGGGUAUAGACCCGAAACCCGGUGAUCUAGCCAUGGGCAGGUUGAAGGUUGGGUAACACUAACUGGAGGACCGAACCGACUAAUGUUGAAAAAUUAGCGGAUGACUUGUGGCUGGGGGUGAAAGGCCAAUCAAACCGGGAGAUAGCUGGUUCUCCCCGAAAGCUAUUUAGGUAGCGCCUCGUGAAUUCAUCUCCGGGGGUAGAGCACUGUUUCGGCAAGGGGGUCAUCCCGACUUACCAACCCGAUGCAAACUGCGAAUACCGGAGAAUGUUAUCACGGGAGACACACGGCGGGUGCUAACGUCCGUCGUGAAGAGGGAAACAACCCAGACCGCCAGCUAAGGUCCCAAAGUCAUGGUUAAGUGGGAAACGAUGUGGGAAGGCCCAGACAGCCAGGAUGUUGGCUUAGAAGCAGCCAUCAUUUAAAGAAAGCGUAAUAGCUCACUGGUCGAGUCGGCCUGCGCGGAAGAUGUAACGGGGCUAAACCAUGCACCGAAGCUGCGGCAGCGACACUAUGUGUUGUUGGGUAGGGGAGCGUUCUGUAAGCCUGUGAAGGUGUACUGUGAGGUAUGCUGGAGGUAUCAGAAGUGCGAAUGCUGACAUAAGUAACGAUAAAGCGGGUGAAAAGCCCGCUCGCCGGAAGACCAAGGGUUCCUGUCCAACGUUAAUCGGGGCAGGGUGAGUCGACCCCUAAGGCGAGGCCGAAAGGCGUAGUCGAUGGGAAACAGGUUAAUAUUCCUGUACUUGGUGUUACUGCGAAGGGGGGACGGAGAAGGCUAUGUUGGCCGGGCGACGGUUGUCCCGGUUUAAGCGUGUAGGCUGGUUUUCCAGGCAAAUCCGGAAAAUCAAGGCUGAGGCGUGAUGACGAGGCACUACGGUGCUGAAGCAACAAAUGCCCUGCUUCCAGGAAAAGCCUCUAAGCAUCAGGUAACAUCAAAUCGUACCCCAAACCGACACAGGUGGUCAGGUAGAGAAUACCAAGGCGCUUGAGAGAACUCGGGUGAAGGAACUAGGCAAAAUGGUGCCGUAACUUCGGGAGAAGGCACGCUGAUAUGUAGGUGAAGUCCCUCGCGGAUGGAGCUGAAAUCAGUCGAAGAUACCAGCUGGCUGCAACUGUUUAUUAAAAACACAGCACUGUGCAAACACGAAAGUGGACGUAUACGGUGUGACGCCUGCCCGGUGCCGGAAGGUUAAUUGAUGGGGUUAGCGCAAGCGAAGCUCUUGAUCGAAGCCCCGGUAAACGGCGGCCGUAACUAUAACGGUCCUAAGGUAGCGAAAUUCCUUGUCGGGUAAGUUCCGACCUGCACGAAUGGCGUAAUGAUGGCCAGGCUGUCUCCACCCGAGACUCAGUGAAAUUGAACUCGCUGUGAAGAUGCAGUGUACCCGCGGCAAGACGGAAAGACCCCGUGAACCUUUACUAUAGCUUGACACUGAACAUUGAGCCUUGAUGUGUAGGAUAGGUGGGAGGCUUUGAAGUGUGGACGCCAGUCUGCAUGGAGCCGACCUUGAAAUACCACCCUUUAAUGUUUGAUGUUCUAACGUGGACCCGUAAUCCGGGUUGCGGACAGUGUCUGGUGGGUAGUUUGACUGGGGCGGUCUCCUCCUAAAGAGUAACGGAGGAGCACGAAGGUUGGCUAAUCCUGGUCGGACAUCAGGAGGUUAGUGCAAUGGCAUAAGCCAGCUUGACUGCGAGCGUGACGGCGCGAGCAGGUGCGAAAGCAGGUCAUAGUGAUCCGGUGGUUCUGAAUGGAAGGGCCAUCGCUCAACGGAUAAAAGGUACUCCGGGGAUAACAGGCUGAUACCGCCCAAGAGUUCAUAUCGACGGCGGUGUUUGGCACCUCGAUGUCGGCUCAUCACAUCCUGGGGCUGAAGUAGGUCCCAAGGGUAUGGCUGUUCGCCAUUUAAAGUGGUACGCGAGCUGGGUUUAGAACGUCGUGAGACAGUUCGGUCCCUAUCUGCCGUGGGCGCUGGAGAACUGAGGGGGGCUGCUCCUAGUACGAGAGGACCGGAGUGGACGCAUCACUGGUGUUCGGGUUGUCAUGCCAAUGGCACUGCCCGGUAGCUAAAUGCGGAAGAGAUAAGUGCUGAAAGCAUCUAAGCACGAAACUUGCCCCGAGAUGAGUUCUCCCUGACUCCUUGAGAGUCCUGAAGGAACGUUGAAGACGACGACGUUGAUAGGCCGGGUGUGUAAGCGCAGCGAUGCGUUGAGCUAACCGGUACUAAUGAACCGUGAGGCUUAACCUUACAACGCCGAAG
rnacentral:rRNA from 1 species